rnacentral:lncRNA from 1 species
GCACCAUGGAGUCCGAUGUCCGACUCCUGCAACGCGCCCGACUGACUGUCGGAGGGGCCCGGAUCUUCACCUGACGCCCCUCAGCUGACCACCGACCUAUGGUCGGUCGGCUCCUCCAAUCGCCGUACUACUGCCAGAGACUGUCAGCCCUGACAACGGCAUGCGGCACUGCCGCCUAGGGGCAUUAUCCCAACUAAGGCAUGGUCAACCCUAGCGAUUUGACAGCCCCAUGGCGAUUUGACACCCUCACGACGGCUCUGACAGUCCUCAGUGAGUUGACAAUACUUCAAUUGUCCGUGCCAUUAAUGACGGCGCCAUACC